rnacentral:rRNA from 1 species
UGCUUGCACCUGAUUGACGAUGGAUCACCAGUGAGUGGCGGACGGGUGAGUAACACGUAGGUAACCUGCCCCGGAGCGGGGGAUAACAUUUGGAAACAGAUGCUAAUACCGCAUAACAACAAAAGCCACAUGGCUUUUGUUUGAAAGAUGGCUUUGGCUAUCACUCUGGGAUGGACCUGCGGUGCAUUAGCUAGUUGGUAAGGUAACGGCUUACCAAGGCGAUGAUGCAUAGCCGAGUUGAGAGACUGAUCGGCCACAAUGGAACUGAGACACGGUCCAUACUCCUACGGGAGGCAGCAGUAGGGAAUCUUCCACAAUGGGCGCAAGCCUGAUGGAGCAACACCGCGUGAGUGAAGAAGGGUUUCGGCUCGUAAAGCUCUGUUGUUGGAGAAGAACGUGCGUGAGAGUAACUGUUCACGCAGUGACGGUAUCCAACCAGAAAGUCACGGCUAACUACGUGCCAGCAGCCGCGGUAAUACGUAGGUGGCAAGCGUUAUCCGGAUUUAUUGGGCGUAAAGCGAGCGCAGGCGGUUGCUUAGGUCUGAUGUGAAAGCCUUCGGCUUAACCGAAGAAGUGCAUCGGAAACCGGGCGACUUGAGUGCAGAAGAGGACAGUGGAACUCCAUGUGUAGCGGUGGAAUGCGUAGAUAUAUGGAAGAACACCAGUGGCGAAGGCGGCUGUCUGGUCUGCAACUGACGCUGAGGCUCGAAAGCAUGGGUAGCGAACAGGAUUAGAUACCCUGGUAGUCCAUGCCGUAAACGAUGAGUGCUAGGUGUUGGAGGGUUUCCGCCCUUCAGUGCCGGAGCUAACGCAUUAAGCACUCCGCCUGGGGAGUACGACCGCAAGGUUGAAACUCAAAGGAAUUGACGGGGGCCCGCACAAGCGGUGGAGCAUGUGGUUUAAUUCGAAGCUACGCGAAGAACCUUACCAGGUCUUGACAUCUUGCGCUAACCUUAGAGAUAAGGCGUUCCCUUCGGGGACGCAAUGACAGGUGGUGCAUGGUCGUCGUCAGCUCGUGUCGUGAGAUGUUGGGUUAAGUCCCGCAACGAGCGCAACCCUUGUUACUAGUUGCCAGCAUUAAGUUGGGCACUCUAGUGAGACUGCCGGUGACAAACCGGAGGAAGGUGGGGACGACGUCAGAUCAUCAUGCCCCUUAUGACCUGGGCUACACACGUGCUACAAUGGACGGUACAACGAGUCGCAAGCUCGCGAGAGUAAGCUAAUCUCUUAAAGCCGUUCUCAGUUCGGACUGUAGGCUGCAACUCGCCUACACGAAGUCGGAAUCGCUAGUAAUCGCGGAUCAGCAUGCCGCGGUGAAUACGUUCCCGGGCCUUGUACACACCGCCCGUCACACCAUGGGAGUUUGUAACGCCCAAAGUCGG